rnacentral:rRNA from 1 species
AUCUGAGCAGGGUAAGCCGGCCCCUAAGGCGAGGCAGAAAUGCGUAGCCGAUGGGAACCACGUUAAUAUUCGUGGGCCAGGAGGAUGUGACGGAUCAAGAGGGUAGUUCAUUCUUAUCGGAUUGAAUGGGCUGCUUAUUGGUCCCUGGAAAUAGCCCUCCAUCAGACCGUACCCUAAACCGACACAGGUGGACUGGUAGAGAAUACCAAGGCGCUUGAGAGAACGAUGUUGAAG